rnacentral:lncRNA from 1 species
AACGGAAGAAGGCGCGAGUAGCAGCGGCGCAGCCAGGGCACCUGGGGGUGACACGAGAGUGGGCGGGCGGUCCAGGGAGCCCCUGCUGGAAACCAGACGCUAAAGCUUGCAGCUGUGCAGCUAGGGGAGCAUCUGUUUUCCACUUGAGAGCAACCCGGGCACGCGAGAACGGCCCGAUUUCGGUGCAGGGGUGCGUCCCGAAGGAACGGGGGACUGUUUCUGCGCGGACAGGCGAACCCGGCAGGGGAAACCGAGGCCACGCUAGGUCCGCAGCCCCGAGGUGUCCACAAGAGCUCCGCUCGCGCAAGGGCGCGGAGCGAGGCUGCCCGCGGGACCGGCCUGCGGAGCGAGCGGGUGAGAGGGCAGGGCGGCAGCUGGGGCCUGGGGGAGGAGGGCGGCGAGGCAGCGUGAGCGAACGAGCGAGGGUGUGUGUCCGGGCGUGAGUCUGGGCGGGUGUCGGGAAGGAAGGCGACAGGGAGGGGCGGAGGCGGGGGGAGGGGGGAGGAGAAAGAGCGAAGGGCCCAGACGGGGCUCUGGGCGCCCAGCCGCCCGGCUUCGAGCCCUCAAGCCACCGCCCCCAGGCCCCGCGCUGACGCUGGACGGUCCCCGCCUCCAAACCCCCCGCCCCGGCCAGAGAAUAACUUACCUGUUUGGCGACGGAAUCGCUCCUGCUCGCCCCUCUGACUGACUCCUCCGGCUCACCGUCUUCCCUUUGGGAGGAAGAGGCGGGACAUCCUGUUUCUCCGUCGAAGGACUUCCGGUGGCUUCCAAGGCGACUCCGUAGUGGAUGCAGCGCCGGACGCCACAGCCGAAAAACAGAAUCUUGGAACUGGUUUAGUACAAUCCAGGUCGAGUUCCUUGUUUUUUAUCCGAGUGGCCGGCAGGCCCAUGUGCUGUCUUGUUUUUAACACAUCAGCUCUUGCCGGAAGCCGCUAAGAGAUAAAAUAGGAAGUCCCACCCUUCCCUUAGAGAAGGAAAACGGAGAGCCGAAGGAGUCAAUCUAAAUUCGAUGAGCGCGUCGGGCUCCAAGGCAGGCGCUGUCAGCCCGGGAGGGCUGUCUGGGAUUUCUAGAGGGUCCCAGAACGGGUUCUUCCCAGGCCGAUCCCGCCUGCUUCCUGCCCCGUCUCUCCACCCGCCUCCCGCCCUCUGUAAGGGACCCCGAGGGCGGCGCCGGAAACACGGAGAAGGCCCAGAACGGCGCGGGACCCGAGAGGCCUACGUUGGCAAACGCAGCCCGCUGCCCCUUUGCUCGCUUCCCCCGGGCCUGGAGUGGCUCCUGUCGCUUCUGGCGCUCCGAUUUCGAGAAAUGACUUUCAGCUGUGCAAGGCGAGAAUGCUACUUUAGAUGAUGAGAAAAAAUCUCUCGAAUGGCUCCCAAAAUGAGGUCCUUGUUUAAGAGGCCACAGGAAGCCGCUAGCCGAACUCUGAUACCAAAGAGGAGGCCAAGAAGCGGACUGUGGCUUGGUGACCUGUUUGGUAUUGCCAAAUUUUCAGCUUUUAUUAAAGCUGAAACACCUUGGCUGUUUAAAACGUUCGACAAGGACUUUUUUAUGAACGUUAACGGCACAGCAUACGGGUUUUUUGGAAAAAAAAAAAGGCAGGACUUCAGCCCGUCCGCCCCCUUGUGCAGGUCCAUUCAUGAACCUCGAGUUAGAGGCCUUUCUUCUGAAACUCAGAAUCUAGUAGGGAAGACCUGUGUAGACGAAUAAAAAUAAAUACAUCACAGCUUGUUAAGUGCUGUGACAAAGAGGCAGUGAAAUCCUGCUUGAGGUCAUCUGCCUUGCUAAAGAGGUUUGACUAUGUUGUAGGCACAGGGUUAGGGUUAGACUCUGUAAUGGGAAGUUAUGUGAUCAGAUUUCUGUUUAGGAAGAUCACUGGCCAGGCGGGGUGGCUUACGCCUGUAAUCCCAAUACUUUGGGAGGCCGAGUCGGUGGAUUGCUUGAGGCUAGGAUUUUGAGACCAGCCUGGGGAAACCGCGUCUCUACUAAAAAUUUGAAAUUAGCCAGGCAUGGUGGUGCGAGCCUGUAAUUCCAGCUACUUGGAGGCUGAGGCGGGAGAAUAGCUUGAACCCAGUGGCGGAGGCUGCAGUGAGCCGAGAUUGCGCCACUGCACUCCAGCCUGGGCGACAGAGCGAGAUUCCGUCUCAAAAAAAUCAUUCCAACGAGUGGAUAAAGAAAAUGUGAUAUAUAUGCACUAUGGAAUACUAAGCCAUAAGAAGGAAUGAAAUAAUGGCAUUUGCAGCAACCUAGAUGGAGUUGGAGACCAUUAUUCUAAGUGAAGUAACUCAAGAAUGGAAAACCAAAUAUUGUAUGUUCUCACUCGUAAGUGGGAGCUAAGCUGCGAAGAUGCAAAGGCAUAAGAAUGAUAUAGUGGACUUUGAGGACUCAAGGGUUGAAGGAUGAGACUACACAUUGGGUACAGUGUGCACUGCUUGGGUGAUGAGUGCACCAAAAUCUCAGAACUCACCACUGAAGAACUUCCCCAUGUAACCAAAAACCACCUGUUCCACAGAAACUAUCGAAAUAACAUUUUUAAAACUUUACUAUUUCUGAAUAAAAUUUACAUACAUUUCUCAGAAAAAAAAAUAUUUGGAAUUGAGGUAUCUAAUAGAGAACUGAGUUAAAUUAUUGCCACUUAAAAACACAAAGUGAUAUAGCCACUUUAUGAAUUAAUCAGUCAGCAGUGGCUAGGUUAUGCUUAGUGGUUUAUAACCAAAUCUUAGUUUAUAACAACAAAUGUGUAUUGUUAAUUCCCACUACAAGUUUAUAACGACAUUGCUGGAUGCUACACUCCAUGUCUCUUUGUGGGACCCAGGCUCAUGGGACUUCUGUUACCUGCAUUAGAGAGAGAGAAGACAACAAAAUAUGCACUGGUUCUUGAAGCUUUGGCCCAGAAGUAAAAUAUGUCUUUUACCUGUUCACAUUGCAUUGGGCCAGGGCAAUUAUCAUGGCUGCAAGUAACUUCAAAAGGAUGGGGAAGUGCGAUCUUGGCAUGUGUCAGAAGAAAUGAAAACAUUUGGUGAAGAGCAUUAAUGACUGUCUUUACAGGAAAAAAGCAAUCAAAUAGACAUGAUUGCUUGUUUCAGUUUCAUCAUUUCCUACUGUGUUACCUAAACUUUCUGAGCCCCAGUUUCUUAUUACUAAAAUAAAAUAAAGAUGAUAUUCACUUCAAGGACUUUGUGUUAACUAGGGUAAAAAAAUUGAAAACUAGUAAGUUAUGCAAAUUAGAAAUGUAUAAUAUUACUGCUUUGAAAGUGAUGGUGAAAUGUAGAAUAAUUGGAAGGAUAACACAAAGCACUUAUACCAGGAGGCUUUUAGCUGCAGAUAAUAGAAAUGAACCUCCACUACUUUAAUCAAUAAAAAAGUGUAUCAGCUCACAAAUUUGUCAUCCAGACAUAAAGGAGGCUUCAGAAUUUAUUGACUCAGGAGUUGAAUGUUGGUAUCAAGGACCUAGAUUUUUCUCAUCACUCUGCACUUCAAUUCUCAAUGCCCUAUUGAACAUCAGGCUGUAGUAAGAUGGCUAGAGUGAUUCCAGGGAUAACAUCUAGAGAUAAAAAAGAGAACUCCUUUUCUUAUGAUUUUUUUCUUAAGAGAAAAGGAAUUUCCCAAAAGCCCCCAGCAAGCAUGCCUUCACAUCCCAUGGCCAGAAGUGGCUCACAUGUGUACCCUGAGCUAAGCACUGCAGACAGGAAUGGAAUCGCCUGUAGGCCUCAGAGACCACCUGGAUCUUGGGAAGGUGUCAGCUCUACCUGUGGCACUUGGCUGAGUGGGAAAGGGAUGGAAACAUGAAUAAAGUAAGAAUUAGGAAGGAAAAGGAGAAAUGGAUCCAGGGUAUGAAGCCAAUAGUUUAGUUAUCUCAACAAAUAUGAUUGAUUUCAUCUUUAUGAAUGUGAUGACCUAAUUUAAUACAUUCAAUCAAUGAAGUAAAAAAAAGUGCAAGGACAAUAUGACAUCUGUCAUUCUCUGUUGAGAUUUGAGAGGUAAUAAUACCAAGAACGUGUGGUGACCUGGGUCCUCACUGCUACUGUCUUCCUGUACCUGGACACUUCUAGCAAGAGACUUCAACUUCAGAACAAAGAGGAUCCCAACUUGUAGCUGCAUUAUACACACCCCAGCAGCACACAUAAGUUGAUUUCUAAUUAUUCCUCUUUAAGAAAUUGUUUGUGGAAUAUUUAUCUAUUUAUAAAUGGAAAAAUAGAAAAUUAAAAUAACAAAAAUAAGUAACACCAUGUAUUGAGUGUCUACUGCGUGCUAGGCACUG